UACGGAGGGUGCGAGCGUUGUCCGGAAUCAUUGGGCGUAAAGGGCGCGUAGGUGGCGCGGUAAGCGUGCGGUGAAAGCCUGGGGCUCAACCCCGGGUCGGCCGUGCGAACUGCUGGGCUUGAGCACUGUAGAGGCAGGCGGAAUUCCGGGUGUAGCGGUGGAAUGCGUAGAGAUCCGGAGGAAGACCGGUGGCGAAGGCGGCCUGCUGGGCAGUUUCUGACACUGAGGCGCGACAGCGUGGGGAGCAAACAGG
rnacentral:rRNA from 1 species